rnacentral:rRNA from 1 species
AGGACGAACGCUGGCGGCGUGCUUAACACAUGCAAGUCGAACGGUGACCCAGGGCUUGCCCUGGUGAUCAGUGGCGAACGGGUGAGUAACACGUGGGCAACCUGCCCCAGACUCUGGGAUAACUCCGGGAAACCGGGCUAAUACCGGAUACGAAUCGAGUUGGCAUCUUCUCGAUUGGAAAGUUUUUCGGCUGGGAUGGGCCCGCGGCCUAUCAGCUUGUUGGUGGGGUAAUGGCCUACCAAGGCGACGACGGGUAGCCGGCCUGAGAGGGCGAACGGCCACACUGGGACUGAGACACGGCCCAGACUCCUACGGGAGGCAGCAGUGGGGAAUAUUGCGCAAUGGGCGAAAGCCUGACGCAGCGACGCCGCGUGAGGGACGACGGCCUUCGGGUUGUAAACCUCUUUCAGCGGGGAUGAAGCGAAGUGACAGUACCGCAGAAGAAGCACCGGCUAACUACGCGCCAGCACGCCGC